rnacentral:rRNA from 1 species
UACGGAGGGUGCAAGCGUUAAUCGGAAUUACUGGGCGUAAAGCGCACGUAGGCUGUCAUGUAAGUCAGGGGUGAAAGCCGUCGGCUUAACCGAUGAAUUGCCCUUGAAACUGCGUGACUGGAAUUCGGGAGAGGAUGGCGGAAUUUCAGGUGUAGGGGUGACAUCCGUAGAUAUCUGAAAGAACACCGGAGGCGAAGGCGGCCAUCUGGAUCGAUAUUGACGCUGAGGUGCGAAAGCGUGGGGAG